CACUUUGGCCUUGGCUUGUAGCCUUUUCCAGUUGAAGAAUUUACCAUCAGUGGGAUAGCUGAUUUGGUGCUGUGUUCUUCUUCAUUGAAGGCAUAUGACAGCUUGACUGAAAACAUCAUGCUAAAGCAUGGGAGCCAGCACACAGCCUUGUUUCACUCCAUUAAUGACUGGGAAAGCAUGAGAUUAUCUGGAACCUAGGCAGUUGUGCCAUUGUGAAAUUGAUUUACAACACUUCUCUGGGCAACAACAUUUUUACAUGAUUUUCCAUAAGCCCUCACCACAGAGACCAUCAGUGGCCUUUGGUCAUAUCUGCCAGGAGGUGAGCAGCAUGAUCCUUAAAAGGCUGCUCAGACACCCAGGAGGCUGCCAAAUCCCACUGCUGCUUCCAGUAAGAAGACAACUCUUUGGCCUGAGCUGCCCUUGUGUAGGGUUGGGACUACAGCUCCCAGCGUGUCCCCACCUGCUGCUUCAUCACUUGCCUUUAGCCACAGGACUUUGAGAUAGGUACAAAUGAGUCAGCACAUUCCAGUGGCAGAGGGAAGGUGACUGGUGAUGGCUCAAGAUGCAGUGGACGACUUUGGCUUCUGCUAUGUCUAACCAGGCUCUAAGCCCUCCACAGAGCCUGCUUCAGCUGCCUUCAUGGCUGUUAGAAGAAAUUGUUCUCAUGUGUGCAUUCCACUAGGGGAAGUUGUGACAUGCUUAGGGUAGAUGCCCCCUUAAAUUGCCAGUGGGUUUGAGACCCCUUGGUUCCAUUCAACCUGGUUUAGCCCGUCUUCAAAAAUGGUUUGCUUGGGCGUGGCCACUGCACAUGCUAGAGUUUCUUGGAGCCACAGGUGAGAGUUAGGCGGACAAGGUGGAAAGCAGUCCUGAGAAGGGCUCAUCAGCCCUCACACCAGAGGUACCAGUCUUCCCUGAACACACCUUUCCUUUACAUAAUUGUAGUACGGUUCAGCUGUAGAUUCUGUUUUCAUCAUCUGGAUCAUCAUGAAUUGUCAUCAUCGUGGAUCAGAUCUGAUCCAUUUCACAUUUGUUUUUGUGCCUCUCCAUUUGUGUUCAUAGAACAUAUCCUAAGCUCUCUAACCUUCUUUUUCCCACCUCCCAAACCCAAUAAUUUUUUUUGGGUCAUUUUGUUACAAUCUUCCCUUGUUUUUGAAAAAGAACUUGUACUCUAAACUAUUGUUAGUUUCCUCCACUUGCUAAAUGAAGCCCUGGAAAUAAAUACGAAAUAUAUAAACCUAGGCAUACUUAAUGCAUGUAUAUACAUAUGGAGAAAGCUACAUGUGUACACGUAAGUUCGUUGUUCAGUUGUUUUCCUUCUCCAGCUCAUUUUACAGAUGAGGAAACUGAGGCAAAAGGGUGAAGUGACUUGCCCAGGGUCAACAGCUUAUAAGUGUCCAGGCCAGAUUUGGCCUCCCGAAGAUAAGUCUUCUCUACUUCAGGUGCAGCACUGUAUGCACCAAGCAAUCCAGCUGCCCUCAUAAAUAUGAAUAUCUGUACAUACAUACAGUUAGUCACAUAUUUACAUAAUGGAAAGCCUAUUCAGUCUAAUCGUCUCUUCUUAAAAGAAGCAGUGUGGAAUGGCAGAAACUGCCUAUUUUGUAUUGAAAGGAUCUAAGUUUGAUUCCUGGCUCUGACACUUACUCCUUAUGUGAAAUUGGGGGAAGGGUUCACUCUCUCUGACCUCAGUUCUUCAUCUGCGAAACAAAGAGAUUGUAAUAGAUGACUUCGGAGACUCCAGAUAGUUCUCAAUCUGUGAUCUUACAGUAUAAAUCAGUGGGGUUUAGUUUCAUUAUGAGAGAUGCCAGUGGUUUAGAAUCCUCUUUUGAUAGGAAUAGUUAAGACAAUUCUACAGAAGCUACACAAAUCAUCUACAAAGUUUUCCCAAGGUUACUGUAUUUUGAAGCAUCAUAAAGAAGCAGAUAUUCUAUUAGUUAACCAAGUUCCUCAGCUGUUUUACUGCCCUUUUGGGACUAAUCUCAAGCAAGGAAGGAUUUUCUAUGGGAGGAUCAUUCUGUGGUCUCCUUCUGUGUCCCCCUAAAUACCGUGGCUUUUAAGAUAGCUGCUGCUGUCCGCUGCUAGCAGGAAUGCCCCAUGCAGUGGCGCACUCGUGGGCUGUAAUGCCAAGAUACCGUUCCUUGAAUAGUUUCAAAUAAUUCAGAGUACUCCUGACCCCCAGCAUAUACAAAGCAAAAAGCUUAGUCUGCUCAGAGGUACCUUUUAUAAACAGAGAUUCUGUUUAAGCUUUCACUGAAUGAAUUUUUUAACCCCAAAAUACCAUGCUUUUUGGUUGCUAUGUAUGUGCUUCCUUCCCCCAAUCUCCACAGCCAUCACCAGCACCACCCCUUUUGAUAAAGGUAAAUUUCACAGUCCUCUGUAUAUAUUUUGUGUAAAAACCUGAUUCUUCCAGCUGCAGAAAUUAAAAAGACUCUAUGACUCCCUUGACUUCCAUGAGAUAGCCUUGUUUUUUAAAAAAGAAACAUUAUUAACCAAAUAACAUAGAAUAAGUGACAUGGUGGAGGUUUUCUGCUUAUUUCUAAUUAUUAAUAAUUAUCCUAACCUUUUGAAGCUAAAUAUAAAAAAAAAUUCUGGCUCCUUCAAAUCACAAGGUAAUUUCUUACUUGAGGGCCCUCGCUCUUGGUAGGAGCUUUCCUAAAGGGGAGAAAACUAAAGAGUAGUUAUUUUGUUUUACCUUAUUUAUUGGAAUUGGCAUGUCCUUGAAAAGUUGUGUUAAUCUGAUCAUAUUUCAAAUAGAUCAGAGAGGUUUAUAGGACCCUUGUAGUAUAUCCUUUCAUAAAGAAAGCUUCCUUUUAUUCAUUCAUUUAAUAGAUGAAUCCUUUUGUUAAUGCAAAUAAUCGUUCCCGUAUUGAUUAGUUGGGUCUCUUGUUUUAAAUGAACAUUUUGUUUGGUAAAUCAGGCCACUGGUAUAGUUAAAAUGAUGAGAUAUUUUUGUCAUUUUCUUAUCAUUUGGUACAUUAUUUUGAGAUUUCAUAUGCAGACUCAUAAUCAAAACUGUCACAAUGGCUUCAUGCACAAUGCAUCCUUAAACAGAAUCAUUCAGCUGCUUUUAGUAGCAAUAUGCCGCCCACUUAUGAAGAGGAGAAAAACUUGUCCUCCAGUGUCCUGAAGUUAGACUUCCAUUCAUGCCUCAGUUAGGCCAGAAAUGUAGCUUGCAUUGAUCCUUCCUAGGUCCCAUCUUAUUAGAUUCAGCCCAUUCUUCUAACUUUUUGGAUACUUGUUCUUGGAUGAAAGGGAUUGAAUCACUGGCUCACCAGGAUCUAAAGUCACCAGCCUAGAGUAUGAAGAAUCAGUGUUCUUCUUUACCUUUGUGAAGAAUUUUCCAAAUGUUUGUUGCCUAAAAUGAUCACUAGCCAAAGAAUGGCCUUUUUUAAAAGCCCAUCUGUGUAAGAAAACUUAUGAAGGGAGACUGAAUGUGCACAGCAAUUGAAGCAAUUAUGGUUCUUUCUCCAAUCGAGGCCACAGUCCCUGAGUUGGCUGGCUCUUUUAGCUUGUGGAUAAUCCAGAAGGGCCAUGAUGUCAGCCUGCUGUUAUGCUGGCAGCUGUGUUGGAAGACCUCUUCAGGCUUCCCUGAAAACAUUUAAAGGGCAAUAGGGGAUUGGAACAGAGACUGGGUGAUUGGUGUAAGGAAUGAGUGGUAGAGAGCAAUAAAAUUUCUUUCAUUUUUUCUAUGAGGCUUUCUGCUAUUUCACCACAGACAUUUUUGGAAAAACGCUUCUUUCCUUCAUCCUCCAGAUUUAAUCCUUCACACCAAAGAAGUAGUUGCACAAAAAUACCAGUAGGGUGACUUUGCCUGAGAGUCCGUAAGACAUUCUCCUGUAGUGGCCUCCAUCUCUUCUGCUCUCAGAAGUGGCGAUGUUCUUAAAUAGUAUUUCCAUCACACAGCAUAGUGAAAAAGAUUUAUUGUACUUAAAGCUGCAAAUCUGUUAUGUACAACUUGCUGUUCUUUUCAAAUGUACAAUAAAAUUAUCAUGUAAAUUUC